rnacentral:ncRNA from 1 species
ACCAUUCAUUCUUGGGGUUGCGAUACUGCUCAACAAGUGUAAAAGCAAUGCUGUUAGCUCCUAGACAAUGCACCACCUCUCCUAGAGCUUUGCUCUACCUUGGUGCAAAUUUUGGGAAA